rnacentral:misc_RNA from 1 species
GCUAAAUCAGGAGAAACCGCGGUAAUUAAUGGGAAUUAUUUUUAUGAACCCCUUACUAUCGCUUUCUCUGAUGGUUCAACCGUAGAAGCAAGUUCUGUCGGAGCCACGGAAAUACAAUUCGAGGUUCCUGAGAAUGCUCCUGCCGGACCGAUAACCAUUACAACUAAUUUUGGUUCGACAGUGUCGGGCUUUCAUUUUCAUGAUAGCAGGAACAUCGUUUUGAACUAUGAUGAUUUAACUGCUGCAGGUAGUUGGAGACCAGGUCCGACAGGAGAGGAAAAUGGCAUCGACGGUAAAUACUUAAAACUGUUCGGUAAGUUAAAGGCUAACGAUAGGGUGGAAGAUAAUUUUGAAUCUCAGUUCUGGGGUCACACCAGGUACCCUUCUGCCCGGAAUUUGUUUGAGGGCAGUGCCGAUGAUAAGGUAUUGAAGUUUGAAGCUCGCGUUACAUCAUGGUAUGGCUCUUACUUCCAGAUAUGCUGGGGACCUUGGGACAAUGCAAAUAACCAGGAAGUCUGGGGCAACCUGAAUGGAAGAGGGGUAUGGAG